rnacentral:tRNA from 1 species
GGCGCUGUAGUUCUAAUAAGGAUGGAGAACGCAUGCCUGCAGUGCAGGUAUGUAAUACGGGUUCGAAUCCCGUCAGCGCCGCCA